CAGUAGCCACGGUAAUACAGAGGUCUCAAGCGUUGUUCGGAUUCAUUGGGCGUAAAGGGAGCGUAGGCGGUCGGGUAAGUCGGAUGUGAAAUCCUGGGGCUCAACCUCAGAACUGCAUUCGAUACUGCUUGGCUAGAGGACUGGAGAGGUGAGUGGAAUUCACGGUGUAGCAGUGAAAUGCGUAGAUAUCGUGAGGAAGACCAGCGGCGAAGGCGGCUCACUGGACAGUUUCUGACGCUGAUGCUCGAAGGCCAGGGGAGCAAACGGGAUUAGAUACCCCAGUAGUCCCUGUCUUUUAUAC
rnacentral:rRNA from 1 species